GCCUCUGUGGAUCAGUGUUAGGUCACCUCUCCCAAGUAUUCAAUUUGCAUAUCCAGUGUAAGAGGAGACGUGGGUUCGAAUCCCACCAGAGGCA